rnacentral:rRNA from 1 species
UACGGGGGGUGCGAGCGUUGUCCGGAAUCACUGGGCGUAAAGGGCGCGUAGGUGGCCUGAUAAGGGUGUGGUGAAAGUCCGGGGCUUAACCCCGGAUCUGCCGUGCCGACUGUUAGGCUAGAGUGCUGUAGGGGCAGGCGGAAUUCCGGGUGUAGCGGUGGAAUGCGUAGAGAUCCGGAGGAAGACCGGUGGCGAAGGCGGCCUGCUGGGCAGAUACUGACACUGAGGCACGAAGGUCAGGGGAGCAAACGGG